rnacentral:rRNA from 1 species
UACAGAGGGUGCAAGCGUUAAUCGGAAUUACUGGGCGUAAAGCGCGCGUAGGUGGUUCGUUAAGUUGGAUGUGAAAUCCCCGGGCUCAACCUGGGAACUGCAUUCAAAACUGUCGAGCUAGAGUAUGGUAGAGGGUGGUGGAAUUUCCGGUGUAGCGGUGAAAUGCGUAGAUAUCGGAAGGAACAUCAGUGGCGAAAGCGACUUCCUGGACCAAUACUGACGCUCAUGUGCGAAAGCGUGGGGAGCAAACAGG